CCUACGGGAGGCAGCAGUGGGGAAUAUUGGGCAAUGGGCGCAAGCCUGACCCAGCAACGCCGCGUGAAGGAAGAAGGCUUUCGGGUUGUAAACUUCUUUUAAGGGGGAAGAGCAGAAGGCGGUACCCCUUGAAUAAGCCACCGCUAACUACGUGCCCGCAGCCGCGGUAAUACGUAGGUGGCAAGCGUUGUCCGGAUUUACUGGGUGUAAAGGGCGUGCAGCCGGGGAGACAAGUCAGAUGUGAAAUCCACGGGCUCAACCCGUGAACUGCCUUUGAAACUGUUUCCCUUGAGUGUCGGAGAGGUAAGCGGAAUUCCUGGUGUAGCGGUGAAAUGCGUAGAUAUAAGGAAGAACACCAGUGGCGAAGGCGGAUUACUGGACGAUAACUGACGGUGAGGCGCGAAAGCGUGGGGAGCAAACAGGAUUAGAUACCCCAGUAGUC
rnacentral:rRNA from 1 species